GAUGAACGCUGGCGGCGUGCCUAAUACAUGCAAGUCGAGCGAACGGACGAGAAGCUUGCUUCUCUGAUGUUAGCGGCGGACGGGUGAGUAACACGUGGAUAACCUACCUAUAAGACUGGGAUAACUUCGGGAAACCGGAGCUAAUACCGGAUAAUAUUUUGAACCGCAUGGUUCAAAAGUGAAAGACGGUCUUGCUGUCACUUAUAGAUGGAUCCGCGCUGCAUUAGCUAGUUGGUAAGGUAACGGCUUACCAAGGCAACGAUGCAUAGCCGACCUGAGAGGGUGAUCGGCCACACUGGAACUGAGCCACGGUCCAGACUCCUACGGGAGGCAGCAGUAGGGAAUCUUCCGCAAUGGGCGAAAGCCUGACGGAGCAACGCCGCGUGAGUGAUGAAGGUCUUCGGAUCGUAAAACUCUGUUAUUAGGGAAGAACAUAUGUGUAAGUAACUGUGCACAUCUUGACGGUACCUAAUCAGAGAGCCACGGCUAACUACGUG
rnacentral:rRNA from 1 species